UACGUAGGGGGCAAACGUUGCUCGGAAUUACUGGGCGUAAAGGGUGCGUAGGUGGCUGAGCAAGUCGUGGAUGAAAUCCCGAGGCUUACCCUCGGAACUGUCUUCGAUACUGCUCAGCUUGAGGAUGGUUGAGGAGAACGGAAUUCCCGGUGGAGCGGUGAAAUGCGUAGAUAUCGGGAGGAACACCUGAGGCGAAGGCGGUUCUCUGGGCCAUUCCUGACACUGAGGCACGAAAGCUAGGGGAGCAAACGGG
rnacentral:rRNA from 1 species